rnacentral:rRNA from 1 species
AUGCUGCAGAGCAACCAGGCCGUGGCGGAGGUCUCCAAGAUCGCGUCCUCGCUCCUGCCGUUCGGGGAGGAGGAGCCUGACAAAGGGGAGCCUGUCACCGGCGGAACCGAGGAGGUGUUGGUCUUCGUGAAGCACAUCUCGACGCGGCCUGAGACCUGGCUUGAUUUCCCCCUCUUCAUCAACGAGCGUUAUGCAGACGGCGAUUCCGACAUCAUCAACGCAACACCAGCUUGCCAGAAACCUGUACUUGUGGUAACGAAGAGCAAGGCCGAGAAGGACUCCAACAAGCCCAAGCGCCCUCUGAGCGUCGUCUUAGUCCUCAUCUUCAGGAAGGACUCCAACAUCAAGCAUGUCUCCAUGGUUGGCAAGGGCGGUGGAGAAGGCUCCCUAAUUGCCAAGGCCAAGUACACUAAGAAGAUCGACACCUACAACAACCCACUGGCAGGAGAGGUGUCCGACAACUCAGACAAGUCCCAGUCUGAGGUGAGCAACGAUGACGACAAAAGCAAUGUGAGACCAUCCUGA